AGAUAUGAGGGCGACCUGUGACAUCCAUCACCCUAUUGAUCGCCAGGGUUGAUUCAGCUGAUCUUGCUAGCUAGGCAGGUGUCCCCUUUCUCACCACUCCAUGUGCAUCCCUCUUAAAGCUAUGCACUCGGUGGAAGAGGACAACUAUUCCCAAUAGAGGAAGACCGGUCCUUCAGUCAAGGGUAUACCAGUAGCUGCACUCCCCUGCUAGAACCUCCAAACAAGCUCUCAAGGUCCAUUUUUAAGAGAACAUGGUAGUCAUGCUUCCGAGACUCCGGACAUUCCAAAUGAGUUGCUGCAUGUGGCAGUCUGCCUUUCU
rnacentral:snRNA from 1 species